GGGCCCGCACAAGCGGCGGAGCAUGUGGAUUAAUUCGAUGCAACGCGAAGAACCUUACCUGGGUUUGACAUGCACCAGACGCGUCCAGAGAUGGGCGUUCCCUUGUGGCUGGUGUGCAGGUGGUGCAUGGCUGUCGUCAGCUCGUGUCGUGAGAUGUUGGGUUAAGUCCCGCAACGAGCGCAACCCUCGUCCUAUGUUGCCAGCGAGUAAUGUCGGGGACUCAUAGGAGACUGCCGGGGUCAACUCGGAGGAAGGUGGGGAUGACGUCAAGUCAUCAUGCCCCUUAUAUCCAGGGCUGCACACAUGCUACAAUGGCCGGUACAAAGAGCUGCGAUACCGCAAGGUGGAGCGAAUCUCAUAAAGCCGGUCUCAGUUCGGAUUGGGGUCUGCAACUCGACCCCAUGAAGUCGGAGUCGCUAGUAAUCGCAGA
rnacentral:rRNA from 1 species